AACGAACGCUGGCGGCAUGCCUAACACAUGCAAGUCGAACGAGACCUUCGGGUCUAGUGGCGCACGUGUGCGUAACGCGUGGGAACCUGCCCUUAGGUUCGGAAUACCUCCCCGAAAGGGGUGCUAAUACCGGUUAAUGUAUUCGGACCAAAGAUUUAUCGCCUUUGGAUGGGCCCGCGUUGGAUUAGCCAGUUGGUAGUGUAAAAGCCUACCAAGGCGACGAUGCAUAGCUGGUCUGAGAGGAUGAUCAGCCACGCUGGGACUGAGACACGGCCCAGACUCCGACGGGAGGCAGCAGUGGGGAAUAUUGGACAAUGGGCGAAAGCGUGAUCAAGCAAUGCCGCGUGAGUGAGGAAGGGCUUAGGGUUGUAAAGCUGUUUUACCCGGGAUGAUAAUGACAGUACCGGGAGAAUAAGCUCCGGCUAACUCCGUG
rnacentral:rRNA from 1 species